rnacentral:rRNA from 1 species
ACGAACGCUGGCGGCGUGCUUAACACAUGCAAGUCGAACGGAAAGGCCUGCUUUCCCUUGUGGAUUGCGGGUACUCGAGUGGCGAACGGGUGAGUAACACGUGAGUGAUCUGCCCCCAACUUGGGUAUAAGCCUGGGAAACUGGGUCUAAUUCCCGAUAGGACUGCAGGGUGGUGCCUGUGGUGGAAAACGAUUUUCUAGUGGUUGGGGAUGAGCUCGCGGCCUAUCAGCUUGUUGGUGGGGUAAUGGCCUACCAAGGCGGCGACGGGUAGCCGGCCUGAGAGGGUGGACGGCCACAUUGGGACUGAGAUACGGCCCAGACUCCUACGGGAGGCAGCAGUGGGGAAUAUUGCACAAUGGGCGGAAGCCUGAUGCAGCGACGCCGCGUGGGGGAUGACGGCCUUCGGGUUGGAAACUCCUUUCGACCGCGAGGAAGCCACCUGGUUGGAAGGGUGGUGACGGUAGUGGUAGAAGAAGCACCGGCGAACUACGU